rnacentral:rRNA from 1 species
AGACCGAUAGCGAACAAGUAGAGUGAUCGAAAGAUGAAAAGCACUUUGAAAAGAGAGUUAAAAAGUACGUGAAAUUGUUGAAAGGGAAGCGCUCAUGACCAGACUUGGGCUGGCUCGAUCAUCCGGCGUUCUCGCCGGUGCACUCGGGCCGCUCAGGCCAGCAUCAGCUUCCGCCGGGGGAUAAAGGCGGUGGGAAUGUGGCUCCCUCGGGAGUGUUAUAGCCCGCCGUGCAAUACCCUGGUGGGGGCUGAGGUUCGCGCGUAUGCACGGAUGCUGGCGUAAUUCAUCAGCGACCGUCUUGAAACACGGACCAAG